CCUACGGGCGGCUGCAGUGGGGAAUAUUGCACAAUGGGCGAAACCCUGAUGCAGCGACGCCGCGUGAGUGAAGAAGUAUCUCGGUACGUAAAGCUCUAUCAGCAGGGAAGAAAAUGACGGUACCUGACUAAGAAGCCCCGGCUAACUCCGUGCCAGCAGCCGCGGUAAUACGGAGGGGGCAAGCGGUAUCCGGAUUUACUGGGUGUAAAGGGAGCGUAGACGGCAGCACAAGUCUGGAGUGAAAGCCCGGGGCUUAACCCCGGAACUGCUUUGGAAACUGUGCGGCUGGAGUGCAGGAGGGGUAAGCGGAAUUCCUAGUGUAGGGGUGAAAUGCGUAGAUAUUAGGAGGAACACCGGUGGCGAAGGCGGCUUACUGGACUGUAACUGACGUUGAGGCUCGAAAGCGUGGGGAGCAAACAGGAUUAGAUACCCGUGUAGUC
rnacentral:rRNA from 1 species